GAUGAACGCUGGCGGCGUGCCUAAUACAUGCAAGUCGAGCGAACAGACGAGGCGCUUGCUCCUCUGACGUUAGCGGCGGACGGGUGAGUAACACGUGGAUAACCUACCUAUAUGACUGGGAUAACUUCGGGAAACCGGAGCUAAUACCGGAUAAUAUAUUGAACCGCAUGGUUCAAUAGUGAAAGACGGUUUUGCGGUAUCGUAUCGAGGGAUCCGCGCCGCAUUGGCUAGUUGGUAAGGUGAAGGCUUUCCAAGGCAACGAUGCGUAUCCGAGCGCAUAGGGGGAUCGCCCACACUAGAACGGAGACGCGCACCAGACUCCUACGGGACGCAGCAGAAGGGUAUGUUCCGCAAUAGUCGGAAGCAUGGCGGAACAACGCCACGUGAGUGACGGAGACCUUCGGAGCGUAAAGCUCUCCUAUUAGUGAAAAACAAAUGUGUAAUUAGCUAUGCACGGAUUGACGGUACCUAAUCAGAAAGCCACGGCUAACUACGUG
rnacentral:rRNA from 1 species